rnacentral:rRNA from 1 species
AACGUACGCUGGCGGCAGGCCUAACACAUGCAAGUCGAGCGAGACCUUCGGGUCUAGCGGCGGACGGGUGAGUAACGCGUGGGAAUCUGCCCUUGGGUUCGGAAUAACAGUUAGAAAUGACUGCUAAUACCGGAUGAUGUCUUCGGACCAAAGAUUUAUCGCCCAAGGAUGAGCCCGCGUAGGAUUAGGUAGUUGGUGGGGUAAUGGCUCACCAAGCCGACGAUCCUUAGCUGGUCUGAGAGGAUGAUCAGCCACACUGGGACUGAGACACGGCCCAGACUCCUACGGGAGGCAGCAGUGGGGAAUAUUGGACAAUGGGCGAAAGCCUGAUCCAGCAAUGCCGCGUGAGUGAUGAAGGCCCUCGGGUCGUAAAGCUCUUUUACCAGGGAUGAUAAUGACAGUACCUGGAGAAUAAGCUCCGGCUAACUCCGUG